GACGAACGCUUGCGGCGUGCCUAAGAAAUGCAAGUUGAGCGAGAUCGAGGCUUCGGCCAAAGGUCUAGCAGCGAACGGUCGCGUAACACGUAAGCAACCUGCCCUAAAAUGGGGGAUAGCCCGCCGAAAGGCGGAUUAAUACCGCAUGUGGACAUUGAAUCGCAUGUUUUGAUGUCUGAAGCAGCGAUGCGUUUUAGGAUGGGCUUGCGGCCUAUCAGCUAGUUGGUGUGGGUAACGGCUCACCAAGGCGACGACGGGUAGCUGGUCUGAGAGGAUGGUCAGCCGGACUGGGACUGAGAUACGGCCCAGACUCCUACGGGAGGCAG
rnacentral:rRNA from 1 species